rnacentral:rRNA from 1 species
UAACACCAGCGCCACGAGUGGGAACCACAUUUAUUGGGCCUAAAGCGUUCGUAGCCGGUCAUGUAAAUCUUUUGUGAAAUCGUCAGGCUUAACCUUACGGACUGCAGAAGAGACUGCAUGACUUGGGACCGGAAGGGGUCAAGAGUAUUUUUUGGGGAGCGGUAAAAUGCGAUAAUCCAGAAAAGACUACCUGUGGCGAAGGCGCUUGACCAGGACGGGUCCGACGGUGAGGAACGAAAGCUAGGGGAGCGAUCCGGAUUAGAUACCCGAGUAGUCCUAGCUGUAAACGCUGCGAGCAAGGUGUUGCACAUUUUACGCGAAUGUGCAGUGUCGAAACGAAGGUGUUAAGCUCGCCGCCUGGGGAGUACGGUCGCAAGACUG